AUACAGUCAUGGAUUCACAAACCUGUAACACUUGUCCGCGGUUCGUCUGACGCUGCUUCUGAAUCUCUCUCUGGCCGAGACUCGAAACGGAUCUGGCCUACUGGAAGGACCACUACCAGUCCAGUGACCGGGGUCUCCAGCGUCCCUCUCCCACGGGGCAUCGCUCAUACAGGCACGGGCCAAAUGUCAACUAUGACUACUACUAAAACACCAAGAAUAUGUUUCCAAGACAUAACCGCUCUGAUUUACCUCACAGUGAUGUCAGCUUGCUUCUUCCAGCUGCAGCUUGUGCUUCCUCUUGAGAAAAUCAAGAGAGAGAAAUGGGUUUAUGAAUAGAAAUGUAGCAGAGGACAGUUAUUAGGCAGAAGAACAGGGAAAGUGAGGUUAAAAAUACAAUACAGUAAAUAUUUUAUUAAAAUAUCCUUUUCACAUGACAUUAAUAAUAGGUUCAAAGUUCUGUAUGAAGUUUCACAAAGGUAACAACAGAUUUUGCUCAAAAUCAUCACCAAGAUUAAAGCAGAAUGAACAUUUUCCAAAGCUUUUCUCUCCAAAUUUCUUGACCGAGCUGGAUGAGGUUUCCUGCUCCAGUCCAGACAUUCAAGAUCUUCAAAUAAUUUUCUGAAUUUCCUACAGGUGUCCAUUCAACAAACACACCUCUGGCUUUGACAAUGAUAAAAAAAA